rnacentral:misc_RNA from 1 species
GAUGAAGAACGUAGCGAAAUGCGAUAAGUAGUGUGAAUUGCAGAAUUCAGUGAAUCAUCGAAUCUUUGAACGCACAUUGCGCCCCUUGGUAUUCCAUGGGGCAUGCCUGUUCGAGCGUCAUUUGUACCCUCAAGCUUUGCUUGGUGUUGGGCGUCUUGUCUCCAGUCCGCUGGAGACUCGCCUUAAAGUCAUUGGCAGCCGGCCUACUGGUUUCGGAGCGCAGCACAAGUCGCACUCUUUUCCAGCCAAGGUCAGCGUCCAACAAGCCUUUUUUCAACUUUUGACCUCGGAUCAGGUAGGGAUACCCGCUGAACUUAAGCAUAUCAAUAAGCGGAGGA